rnacentral:rRNA from 1 species
UUAACUAGGAUUAGAUACCCUAUUAUUUUGAGUGUUAAUGUUUUUGCCUGAGUAGUAUUAGUUGUGUUCUUGAAACUUAAAGAAUUUGGCGGUAUCCUAUUCCGUUCAGAGGAAUCUGUCUCGUUAUCGAUAGUCCGCGUUGGACCUUACUUAGAGUUAUAUUUUUGGUUUGUAUACCGCCGUUUAUUGAUUAUCUUUUUAGAGUUCCUUAAUUUUCUGGUUUCUUUAAUUUGAUUUAUUGCAGGUCAAGGUGCAGCUUUUUCUAAGUGUAAUGAUGGAUUACAGUGUUAUGUGUUGUUUGGAUUGUUUAUUUUAAUAUUGACAUGAAAUUGGAUUUGGUUGUAAUGUCUUGUAGAUUGUUUUCAUGAUAGUUGGUUCUAGGAUAUGUACACAUCGCCCGUCGUUCCUUCCAUUAAAUU